GGCGUCGAUAGUGCAAUUGGGUAGAGCACGCGCCUCAGGAGAGAGUGAAAUGCGGGUUUGAAUCCCGCCUGAAUCA